AUUGAACGCUGGCGGCAGGCCUAACACAUGCAAGUCGAACGGUAACAGGAAGAAGCUUGCUUCUUUGCUGACGAGUGGCGGACGGGUGAGUAAUGUCUGGGAAACUGCCUGAUGGAGGGGGAUAACUACUGGAAACGGUAGCUAAUACCGCAUAACGUCGCAAGACCAAAGAGGGGGACCUUCGGGCCUCUUGCCAUCGGAUGUGCCCAGAUGGGAUUAGCUAGUAGGUGGGGUAACGGCUCACCUAGGCGACGAUCCCUAGCUGGUCUGAGAGGAUGACAAGCAACACUGAACUGAGACACGGUCCAGACUCCUACGGGAGGCAGCAGUGGGGAAUAUUACACAAUGGGCGCAAGCCUGAUGCAGCCAUGCCGCGUGUAUGAAGAAGGCCUUCGGGUUGUAAAGUACUUUCAGCGGGGAGGAAGGGAGUAAAGUUAAUACCUUUGCUCAUUGACGUUACCCGCAGAAGAAGCACCGGCUAACUCCGUG
rnacentral:rRNA from 1 species